AUUCCAGCUCCAAUAGCGUAUAUUUAAGUUGCUGCAGUUAAAAAGCUCGUAGUUGGAUUUCGGGUGGGAAUGGCCGGUCCGCCGUUUCGGUGUGCACUUGCUACGCCCACCUUGCUGCCGGGGACGUGCUCUUGAGUUUGCGCUCGGGACACGGAGUCGGCGAGGUUACUUUGAGUAAAUUAGAGUGUUCAAAGCAGGCCUACGCUCUGAAUACAUUAGCAUGGAAUAACACGAUAGGACUCUGACCUAUCUUGUUGGUCUGUAGGACCGGAGUAAUGAUUAAGAGGGACAGUCGGGGGCAUUCGUAUUUCAUUGUCAGAGGUGAAAUUCUUGGAUUUACGAAAGACGAACUACUGCGAAAGCAUUUGCCAAGGAUGUUUUCAUUA
rnacentral:rRNA from 1 species